AUUGAACGCUGGCGGCAGGCCUAACACAUGCAAGUCGAGCGGAUGAAGGGUGCGUGCUCCUGGAUUCAGCGGCGGACGGGUGAGUAAUGCCUAGGAACCUGCCUGGUAGUGGGGGAUAACGUCCGGAAACGGGCGCUAAUACCGCAUACGUCCUGAGGGAGAAAGUGGGGGAUCUUCGGACCUCACGCUCUCAGAUGAGCCUAGGUCGGAUUAGCUAGUUGGUGGGGUAAAGGCCUACCAAGGCGACGAUCCGUAACUGGUCUGAGAGGAUGAUCAGUCACACUGGAACUGAGACACGGUCCAGACUCCUACGGGAGGCAGCAGUGGGGAAUAUUGGACAAUGGGCGAAAGCCUGAUCCAGCCAUGCCGCGUGUGUGAAGAAGGUCUUCGGAUUGUAAAGCACUUUAAGUUGGGAGGAAAGGCAGUAAGUUAAUACCUUGCUGUUUUGACGUUACCAACAGAAUAAGCACCGGCUAACUUCGUG
rnacentral:rRNA from 1 species